rnacentral:rRNA from 1 species
GAUGAACGCUAGCUACAGGCUUAACACAUGCAAGUCGAGGGGAAACGACAUCGAAAGCUUGCUUUUGAUGGGCGUCGACCGGCGCACGGGUGAGUAGCGCGUAUCCAACCUGCCCAUCACUUGGGGAUAACCUUGCGAAAGUAAGACUAAUACCCAAUGAUAUCUCUAGAAGACAUCUGAAAGAGAUUAAAGAUUUAUCGGUGAUGGAUGGGGAUGCGUCUGAUUAGCUUGUUGGCGGGGUAACGGCCCACCAAGGCAACGAUCAGUAGGGGUUCUGAGAGGAAGGUCCCCCACAUUGGAACUGGGACACGGUCCAAACUCCUACGGGAGGCAGCAGUGAGGAAUAUUGGUCAAUGGGCGAGAGCCUGAACCAGCCAAGUAGCGUGCAGGAAGACGGCCCUAUGGGUUGUAAACUGCUUUUAUAAGGGAAUAAAGUGAGAGUCGUGACUCUUUUUGUAUGUACCUUAUGAAUAAGGACCGGCUAAUUCCGUG